rnacentral:misc_RNA from 1 species
GUAAGAAACGUUAUAUGGAAAAUACUAUCAGACUUACGUACACACACAUUGAUUACGUAAUAUGCACGUUCACUCUGAUCAUGUCACACAAAUUGAGCGUUCCGUUGCCAAACAAAGCAUCCUGCCCCCAUGUUGUCCAGGCUCCCACGGUUAUUGCCAUGGUCGGGCUGCCGGCCAGAGGAAAGACAUACAUCUCUAAGAAGCUGACACGCUACCUCAACUGGAUUGGAGUCAGUACAAAAGUGUUCAAUGUGGGAGAGUACCGUCGUGCAGCUACCAACAAGUAUCGCAGCCAUGACUUCUUCCGCCCAGACAACAAGGAGGCACAGGAGAUACGAACGAAGUGUGCUUUACUGGCCAUGGAGGAUGCCUGCCAGUUCCUGGAGAACGGGGGAGAGGUCGGGGUGGUAGAUGCGACCAACACGACCCGCGAGAGGAGGAAGAUGCUUGUUAACAUGUUCACAGUAGAGCAUCAGUUCAAACUGUUCUUUGUGGAGUCCAUCUGCGAUGAUCCUGAAGUGGUGGAGGCCAAUAUAAAGGAAGUGAAGGUUUGCAGCCCGGACUACAAGGGGAUGGACACCAAUGAGGCAGUGAAGGAUUUCAUGCAGCGUAUAGAGCACUACAGCGAGACAUACGAGCCCCUCGACUGGAGCCACGACAGAGACUUGUCCUUCAUACAGAUAUUCAACCAAGGGGAGAGGUUCCUAGUCAACAAAUUAGCAGGUCAUCUACAAAGUAGAGUGGUGUAUUACCUAAUGAAUAUUCACGUUCUUCCUCGGACCAUCUACCUCACAAGGCAUGGGGAAAGCAUGAUGAACCUCGGGGGCCGCAUCGGAGGAGACAGCGAUAUAUCAGAGCGAGGGCAGACCUAUGCAGAAGCUCUGAAACGCUACAUUGAGAAGGAGAACAUUCCCAACCUGAAAGUGUGGACGUCGCAGAUGAAGAGGACGAUCCAGACUGCCAAGUUCAUCGAGGCACCCAAGGAGCACUGGAAGGCCCUCAAUGAGAUAGAUGCGGGUAUCUGUGAGGGGAUGACGUACGAGGAGAUCCAGGAGAAGUACCCCGAGGAUUUUGCUCUGCGGGACCAGGACAAGUUCCACUACCGCUACCCAAGUGGGGAGUCUUACCAAGACCUGGUUGCUCGUCUUGAACCUGUGAUACUGGAGCUGGAGAGACAGGAGAAUGUGUUGGUUGUAUGUCACCAGGCUGUUGCCCGCUGUCUACUUGCGUACUUCCAGGACAAGUCAGCAGAACAUAUCCCUCACGUCCCUGUCCCGUUUGAGAAGGUCGUGAAAAUGAAAAUGAAGGGCCAUUGCUGCGAGUGCGAACACAUACCACUGCUCAGAGGAUCUGCCGUAUUUGAAGGUUCCGCUACAUACCGUGAUAAAGUUAACCCCGGUAGCCUAUGGUUGUAGAGUGGAGCUGAUUUCCCUCAACAUCGAGGCAGUCAACACUCACAGGGAGAAACCCAAGACUGUCCUAGCCAAUGGGUCCAUUAGCGCCAUUGAGGCCACCACUUGCUCUUGCUUUGAGUAAUGGCCUCUAACCUUGACCUUUGCCACCACCAACGUAGAUCGUAAUGGAUGACGAGGGUCUGUCAGCAGGAUAACAUAGCGUAGGGUGCUUGAAGAUGUUCUUCUGGUAAUACAUGAUUCAUUCCAGUGUGGGAUAGUUGUGGAGGAAGACUCUGUGCGAGGCAGGAAAACAAACUUCAUUUUCUCUACAAUCACCAGAAAAUAAGAGAUAGAUCCACUUAAGAAUGUUUCCACUCGAUGAAGGAUAUGUUAAACAAAGGGCAUGUUGCUUCAGGCAAUUGGAGAGUGUCUCAUAUCUUCCUUCAAGGAAUACAGAUGUGUGUGGCUAUAUUGAAUGAUGUGAUAUUACAAAUCAAAGGUGCUCAUCGGGGUUUUCAGAUGUGUGUGUGAAGAAAAUCUGACCAAAUUGUUUUUAUUGUGUCUUGGAAACUGAGUGUGAUACUGUGGGGACUGUGUAACUGUUAACUGCACAUGGGGAUGAUACAAGCCUCCGAAGUCAUUGAGAUCCAUUACUUUAGUGCUGUGACUACAGGCGUGUCCUUCAAAGUUCAAGAAGGAUUCAGCUGGUGUAGAGACACUUCAGUGGAAGUGGCAUCUUCAUCUUCUUUAAUUGUCAAGAAAUUGUUGGUCAAGUAACCAGUGUAAUAAGCUCUUGACCUUUUCUUGUGUUUUAUUUAUUUGUACAUUGUUCUCACACUUGACCAAUAUUUGAUUGUCUUUCAUUCUUUCAGGAUGUUUUAUGAAACUGUAUGAUUUCUGGAUGCUGAUGUAGUGAUUGAUUGGUAUACGGCUUGAAUGACUGGUCAUUCUACAUAUCCAGUGUGUUGACUGAAAUUUUUAUAACUGUGAUCGUUGAGAGGAAUGUGUUUUCACUUAUUGAAGUAAGGUUGUGGUAGGUUCUACAUACAGUCUACUAUUACAAACAUGUCUUUUGGCAUUAUUUGAGAUGAAUGUUUAUACAUGGGCUUAUAUAAACUGAGUCUACCUGACAAAAACCUUUUCCUGGCCUUUGUGGCAAAUGAGAGACAUUGUUUAUGAUCUAUCUCAGUGUCCUCAUUUUGAAGUUGAACUGACUGUUUAUUUUAGAAUCUGUUCGAAUGCAUUUCUAUGGUACAAUUUGAAAGUUCACGAUAUUCUCAAAAAUUAGUUUGAGCAUUCAUUAACAAAAUCAGUGAAACAACUUACCAUUGAUGUCAUAUGUAACUGUGACAUGAUUUUUCCCUUGAAAUACAUAGCUUUAAUCUGUUUUUUGCAGUGAUAUCCUUGUCUUUGUUCAUAGAGACUGGUGUGGUAGCCAAACUAGUGGCUACAUUGUGACAUUUCUAGCAAAUAGGUACAAUGUGUGAUGCCCAUUCUUGGAGUGGCUGGCGUAUUGCUAGAAGCUGCAUACAUCCUUACUCACUCACUCACCCUUUAUCAAAUGGCCGAUCCUAGCAAUCUCAGCUGAUUAAUAAACAGUUUAUUUUUGAAUGGAACCGCUACUUUUUGUCAAAAAAGCAACAAAACCCUUUCCAUAGUCAAUAGAAAUCUCUGCUUAAAAGCAGAGUAGAUUGUACCAAACAUGCCUCUCACAGCCUAGUAGGCCUUCCAGUACCUCUGAAGUGGCAUUCAUGUUAUUUAGUUGUGGAUGACAAAUAGGAUCAUCUUCCAUUGCUAUCUUGGUCAUAUUGUUUUGUGAACUGCACAUACUGCUGGUCUUGAUUUUUGAUAUUCUAGUUUUCUCUGACAAUGCUUAUGUCAGUAAUACCAAAGUAUGAUAUGUAUGUUGUUUAUAAAUUAUUUGUCGGUUUAUUUGUUGAGUGAAUAAGAACCAUCUGUAGUGGAUGUCUGACAUAUGUCGAAACUACUUUUCAGGGCAUCAGGAGAUCAGGGCAGGGGGAGAUCAGGGCAGGGGGUUUCUAAAACUAAGUACUUUAUCAAUCCUUAUAGUUGCAGCUUAUGACUACCAAACUUAAUGAGACUUCAGUUAAGCAAUGUGGUUUAUCACAAUUCAAUUCGACCUGUGAAGAUCCAGAUCCGUCUUCAGCAACCCAUGCUUGUCGUAAAAGGCUGCUGUGCUUGUCGUAAGAGGUGACUAACGGGAUCGGGUGGUCAGGCUCGCUGACUUGGUUGAUGCAUG